rnacentral:rRNA from 1 species
UACAGAGGGUCUCAAGCGUUGUUCGGAUUCAUUGGGCGUAAAGGGCGCGUAGGCUGCGGGGCAAGUCGGGUGUGAAAUCUCAGAGCUCAACUCUGAAACUGCACUCGAUACUGCUUUGCUCGAGGACUGGAGAGGAGAUUGGAAUCACGGUGUAGCAGUGAAAUGCGUAGAUAUCGUGAGGAAGACCAGUGGCGAAGGCGGAUCUCUGGACAGUUCCUGACGCUGGAGGCGACG